rnacentral:antisense_RNA from 1 species
UGCUAUGGCGGCUGUGCGUCGGAGACCUUCGGGUCUGCCGGAUUCCUUGGGCCGGUUCGUCAACCUUCGCACAGUCGCCACCCUC